rnacentral:lncRNA from 1 species
GUCUGGCCUUGCUGUGAUGAGUUUCCAAGAGGACUGGGAACAUGGAGAUCAACCUGCAAAGAUGUCAACAGCCCUGGCAUCGGGGGGCGGGGGGCUUGCCCUCAUCAUGAGCAGGGGAGUGAAGAGGAAAUAGGCAGGAGAGAGACCUCCUUCCACUGCCCUGCACACGUCACUGCCUUCCUCUUACCCUCUCGAGAGUGACGCUUUGAUGACGUUCCAGACUUUGGAAUUUGAACGGUAGCAUUAGUUACAGGGGAGUCCGAUAACUAUUAACAUACAUGAGUGUCAAUCCUGGGCGUCUUUAAUGCAGCCUGGAAGUGUGUAUACAAAUGGGCCAUGAGGGUAACCUGCCAGGUGAACAGAGCCCCACUUUUCUCUCGUGAGGCUCGAGUCGUCAGCGCUAUAAAAUAAUGAUAAUGAUGAUGACGGGCCUGCGUUGUUGGAGCACAUUAAAAUCAGAUUAAUUGGUUAAUUUAAAAUAACAACGCCCGUUAAGAUCGUUAGAAACACCUCCACUCGAUUGAGUAUCCCAGCUGUAAACUGCUCCCUGCUUUUCCCAGGGCCAUCGUCUCCAGACUGGUGAGGCUGGAUUUAACAGCCUGAUCGGGAAAGCUGAAUUUCAAGGCCUGCCAUUUACAAGUGGAGGCCAGGAUUGGAGAUAGACCUGCUGACCAGUGCCGUCCAAGAAAACUUUCUGGGGUGACGGAGACGCCUACGCCUGCAUUGUCCAGUAUUACGGCCAUCCGUCACACGUGACUCCUGAGCGGCUGAGAUGUGAGGAGCCCGUCCGAGGGACAGAGUGUGGCUAGACGAUUUAAAUGCCAACAGCCCCCGGUGGCUAGUGGCCAGCCUAUUGGACAGCACAGCUCCAGACCUUUCUGUAUAAGUGGGGAGGAUGAGGGACUUUUGUCCCCAAGUCCCUGCUGACACAUCUACCUUAGUCCUUAUCUCUCCUCUCACUAGGACGCCAGCUGAGAAUUGCUGGGUCAAAGGCGUGCGCACGUACAAGAGGUUUGGAUUCCUCUUUUCGAGCCAAUUUCCCAGAAAAGGGCCACCGGUUUACCCUCCCACUGCGGUCUGUCUUCCCGUCAGGCCGGGGUGGCCUCUGCAUCUGUGUGUCCUUCCUUAUGAGAGCUGGCAUAGGGCUCUGUCUGCCAAGUUGUUGAUGUUAAGAGGAGACGGGCGAGUUCUGGGGAUGUGCGCCUUUCUCCUCGUCCCUGGGGAGGUGUCUAAGCAUGCCUCCAGCCGGGUGGGCCUCCUCCAAGAGACCUGUUUGCAAAGGUGGCAGAAAGGGCUCCAAGACUCGCUUCCGUUUUCAGGCCUGAGCCCUGGGCAGCACUUUUCUCCCCGAGCCCCUGAGAGAUUAAAAAUCAUUCCCUUUCUGUAACUGUAUAAUCUGAGCUUCUUCUGGGUACCCCAAUCCCUGCCACACCCACGAUUUUUUUUUUCAACGUUUAUUUAUUUUUGGGACAGAGAGAGACAGAGCAUGAACGGGGGAGGGGCAGAGAGAGAGGGAGACACAGAAUCGGAAGCAGGCUCCGGGCUCUGAGCCAUCAGCCCAGAGCCCGACGCGGGGCUCGAACUCCCGGACCGCGAGAUCGUGACCUGGCUGAAGUCGGACGCUCAACCGACUGCACCACCCAGGCGCCCCCACACACGAUUUUCUAAAGGGCACUGUUCCCCAAAUCUUGUAAGGCUCAGUCUGCCUCCUACAAUUGAAUCACAG